rnacentral:tRNA from 1 species
GCGCGCCGUGCGUAGCGGUCAACGCUGCCGUUCCGUUCGUCGUGCUAUACAAAACGGUGCGGCCGGCAACGGCGUCUGGCGUGUAGUCGAGCGGUGAGUUGCCCAGAUCGAAUCCCUCCGGCCGUACCA